rnacentral:rRNA from 1 species
UACGGAGGAUUCGAGCGUUAUCCGGAUUUAUUGGGUUUAAAGGGAGCGUAGGCGGGUUGUUAAGUCAGUUGUGAAAGUUUGCGGCUCAACCGUAAAAUUGCAGUUGAUACUGGCAUCCUUGAGUACAGUAGAGGUAGGCGGAAUUCGUGGUGUAGCGGUGAAAUGCUUAGAUAUCACGAAGAACUCCGAUUGCGAAGGCGGCCUGCUGGACUGUAACUGACGCUGAUGCUCGAAAGUGUGGGUAUCAAACAGG